rnacentral:rRNA from 1 species
GCCUGACGGAGCAACGCCGCGUGAGGGAUGAAGGCCUCUGGGCUGUAAACCUCUUUUAUCAAGGAAGAAGAUCUGACGGUACUUGAUGAAUAAGCCACGGCUAAUUCCGUGCCAGCAGCCGCGGUAAUACGGGAGUGGCAAGCGUUAUCCGGAAUUAUUGGGCGUAAAGCGUCCGCAGGCGGUUUUACAAGUCUGUCGUUAAAGCGUGGAGCUCAACUCCAUUUCAGCGAUGGAAACUGUAAGACUCGAGUGUGGUAGGGGCAGAGGGAAUUCCCGGUGUAGCGGUGAAAUGCGUAGAUAUCGGGAAGAACACCAGUGGCGAAAGCGCUCUGCUGGGCCAUAACUGACGCUCAUGGACGAAAGCCAGGGGAGCGAAAGGGAUUAGAUACCCCUGUAGUCCUGGCCGUAAACGAUGAACACUAGGUGUCGKGGGAAUCGACCCCCUCGGUGUCGUAGCCAACGCGUUAAGUGUUCCGCCUGGGGAGUACGCACGCAAGUGUGAAACUCAAAGGAA